UCGUGUCGUGAGAUGUUGGGUUAAGUCCCGCAACGAGCGCAACCCUGCCUCUAGUUGCCAGCAUUCGGUUGGGCACUCUAGAGGGACUGCCGGCGACAAGUCGGAGGAAGGUGGGAUGACGUCAAAUCAUCAUGCCCCUUAUGACCUGGGCUACACACGUGCUACAAUGGGCGGUACAAAGGGCUGCGAACCCGCGAGGGGGAGCGAAUCCCAAAAAGCCGACUCUCAGUUCGGAUUGCAGGCUGCAACUCGCCUGCAUGAAGCCGGAAUCGCUAGUAAUCGCGGAUCAGCAUGCCGCGGUGAAUACGUUCCCGGGCCUU
rnacentral:rRNA from 1 species